rnacentral:rRNA from 1 species
UACGUAGGGACCAAGCGUUGUCCGGAAUCAUUGGGCGUAAAGCGCGCGUAGGCGGCCUCGUAAGUCCGUUGUGAAAGUCAAAGGCUCAACCUUUGAAAGCCGAUGGAUACUGUGAGGCUAGAGUCCGGAAGAGGCGAGUGGAAUUCCUGGUGUAGCGGUGGAAUGCGCAGAUAUCAGGAGGAACACCAAUAGCGAAGGCAGCUCGCUGGGACGGUACUGACGCUAAGGCGCGAAAGCGUGGGGAGCGAACAGG